CCUACGGGUGGCAGCAGUGGGGAAUAUUGCACAAUGGGGGAAACCCUGAUGCAGCGACGCCGCGUGAGUGACGAAGUAUUUCGGUAUGUAAAGCUCCAUCAGCCGGGAAGAAAAUGCCGGUACCUGAUUCAGAAGCCCCGGCAAACUACGUGCCAGCAGCCGCGGUAAUACGUAGGGGGCAAGCGUUAUCCGGAUUUACCUGGGGUAAAGGGAGCGUAGACGGUAGCACAGGUCCGGAGGGAAAUGCCGGGGCUUAACCCCGGAACUGCCUUGGAAACUGUGCAUCUAGAGUGCAGGAGAGGUAAGUGGAAUGCGUAGUGUAGCGGUGAAAUGCGUAGAUAUUAGGAAGAACACCAGUGGCGAAGGCAGCUUACUGGACUGUAACUGACGUUGAGGCUCGAAAGCGUGGGGAGCAAACAGGAUUAGAUACCCCUGUAGUC
rnacentral:rRNA from 1 species